UAAGCGGUUGAAGGUGUGUGGUAACGCAUGCUGGACGUAUCAGAAGUGCGAAUGCUGACAUGAGUAACGAUAAAGGGGGUGAAAAACCUCCUCGCCGGAAGACCAAGGGUUCCUGUCCAACGUUAAUCGGGGCAGGGUAAGUCGACCCCUAAGGCGAGGCCGAAAGGCGUAGUCGAUGGGAAACGGGUUAAUAUUCCCGUACUUCUUACAAUUGCGAUGGGGGGACGGAGAAGGCUAGGUGGGCCUGGCGACGGUUGUCCAGGUUCAAGUGCGUAGGCUUAAGAGUUAGGUAAAUCCGGCUCUUUCUAAGGCUGAGACACGACGUCGAGCACCUACGGGUGUGAAGUCAUUGAUGCCAUGCUUCCAGGAAAAGCCUCUAA
rnacentral:rRNA from 1 species